CCCUUAGAUGUCCUGGGCCGCACGCGCGCUACACUGAUGCAUGCAACGAGUAUAUAACCUUGGCCUGAAAGGCCUGGGUAAUCUUUUGAACGUGCAUCGUGAUAGGGAUAGAUUAUUGCAAUUAUUAAUCUUGAACGAGGAAUUCCUAGUAAACGCGAGUCAUCAGCUCGCAUUGAUUACGUCCCUGCCCUUUGUACACACCGCCCGUCGCUCCUACCGAUUGGGUGUGCUGGUGAAAUGUUCGGAUCGGCCGUUUGUCGCGGUUUCCGCGUCAUGUGGCUGAGAAGUUCAUUAAACCCUCCCACCUAGAGGAAGGAGAAGUCGUAACA
rnacentral:rRNA from 1 species